CCUAUAAGGUUAAGGUUGAUGGCAUGGGUUCAUGUUACCUCUGAGGAUCAUCCGCUGCAAUAUAUAUAAAGACUUGGCCACAGAGGACAUAUCUUCAUAAACGAUACGUAAUGGAUGUAAAACUCUAGUUAUUCAGUUUCCGUGUGUUCACUGAGGAUUGAUCUAUAGGAUCAAUGUGCACGUAACUUCGGUGGUCUUGACUUAUGAGUCGGGGUCUCCACAGCGUGCGAGCAGGU
rnacentral:lncRNA from 1 species